rnacentral:rRNA from 1 species
ACCAGCAGCCAGUUCACACUGCAACUCACAACUGUCAACCCACUGAAGCUAAGCAGUGUGAGCCUGGUCAGUACCUGGAUGGGAGACCUCCUGGGAAAACUUAGGUUGCAGCUGGAA